rnacentral:tRNA from 1 species
GGGCCUGUAGCUCAGUCCGGUAGAGCACCGCGCUGGCAGCGCGGGUGUCAGGGGUUCAAGUCCCCUCAGGUCCA